rnacentral:rRNA from 1 species
GAUGAACGCUGGCGGCGUGCCUAAUACAUGCAAGUCGAGCGAACAGACGAGGAGCUUGCUCCUCUGACGUUAGCGGCGGACGGGUGAGUAACACGUGGAUAACCUACCUAUAAGACUGGGAUAACUUCGGGAAACCGGGGCUAAUACCGGAUAAUAUAUUGAACCGCAUGGUUCCAUAGUGAAAGACGGUUUUGCUGUCACUUAUAGAUGGAUCCGCGCCGCAUUAGCUAGUUGGUAAGGUAACGGCUUACCAAGGCAACGAUGCGUAGCCGACCUGAGAGGGUGAUCGGCCACACUGGAACUGAGACACGGUCCAGACUCCUACGGGAGGCAGCAGUAGGGAAUCUUCCGCAAUGGGCGAAAGCCUGACGGAGCAACGCCGCGUGAGUGAUGAAGGUCUUCGGAUCGUAAAACUCUGUUAUUAGGGAAGAACAAAUGUGUAAGUAACUAUGCACGUCUUGACGGUACCUAAUCAGAAAGCCGCGGCUAACUACGUG